UUUGAUAGAUAUAGCGCAACCCAAACCCUAAUCUUUAUUUUACAAUUUUUAAAGUUCUUCCCCUUUGAUAUUUUGAAUCUAAAUACCUAAAUACUAAGAAAAUUCUCUGUUGACAGCAAUCUAUGCUUCACAGUAGUAUAUAUUUUGUAUAUCGAAGUCCUAGAUAGGAAAGUAGAGUAGGCACAGAUCCUUCACAAAAGGCGAAAUUUAUAUGAAAAAAAUGGAUUGAACUUUCCAACGGAUUCAUUCCAUAAGUAAACGAUUGAAUGGGAUUCGCUUGGGCAACGAAAUCAAGUGCGAGUCCCCUUUUCUUUUUUAUUGAAUUAACUAAUUCAUUUCCUUUUGACUUUUGGAUUUUGGGAUAUUUUUUUUGAUUUGGCAUUAUUCAACAAGAAAAAAAAUUUCGACAAAUUCCUUUUUUUUGAAAAUUAUGUGAUAAUUAUGAGAACCAAUCCUACUACUUCGCGUCCCGGGAUUUUCCACAAUUGAAGAAAAAAGCGUAGGGCGUAUUGAUCAAAUUAUUGGACCCGUGCUGGAUAUCACUUUUCCCCCGGGCAAGUUGCCUUAUAUUUAUAAUGCUUUGAUAGUCAAGAGGUCGAGACACUGCCGAUAAGCAAAUUAAUGUGACUUGUGAGGUACAACAAUUAUUAGGAAAUAAUCGAGUUAGAGCUGUGGCUAUGAGUGCUACAGAGGGGUUGAUGAGAGGAAUGGAAGUGAUUGACACGGGAACUCCUCUCAGUGUUCCAGUCGGUGGAGCUACUCUCGGACGAAUUUUUAACGUUCUUGGGGAGCCUAUUGACAAUUUGGGUCCUGUGGAUACUAGUGCAACAUUUCCUAUUCAUAGAUCUGCGCCUGCCUUUAUCGAGUUAGAUACGAAAUUAUCUAUCUUUGAAACAGGUAUUAAGGUGGUCGAUCUUUUAGCUCCCUAUCGACGUGGAGGAAAAAUCGGACUGUUUGGGGGGGGCAGGAGUAGGUAAAACAGUACUCAUCAUGGAAUUAAUCAAUAACAUUGCUAAAGCUCAUGGAGGCGUAUCCGUAUUUGGCGGAGUAGGGGAAACGGACUCGUGAAGGAAAUGAUCUUAUAUGGAAAUGAAGGAAUCCGGAGUAAUUAAUGAAAAAAAUAUUGAGGAAUCAAAGGUAGCUCUAGUCUAUGGCCAAAUGAAUGAACCGCCGGGAGCUCGUAUGAGAGUUGGUUUAACUGCCCUAACUAUGGCAGAAUAUUUCCGAGAUGUUAAUAAGCAAGACGUGCUUUUAUUCAUCGAUAAUAUCUUUCGUUUUGUUCAAGCAGGAUCGGAAGUAUCCGCCUUAUUAGGCAGAAUGCCCCUCCGCAGUGGGUUAUCAACCUACCCUUAGUACAGAAAUGGGUUCUUUGCAAGAAAGAAUUACUUCUACCAAAAAGGGAUCUAUAACUUCGAUCCAAGCAGUUUAUGUACCUGCAGACGAUUUGACCGACCCUGCUCCUGCCACAAACAUUUGCACAUUUGGACGCUACUACCGUACUUUCCAGAGGAUUAGCUUCCAAGGGUAUUUAUCCCGCAGUGGAUCCUUUAGAUUCAACCUCAACUAUGUUACAGCCUCGGAUUGUUGGCAACGAACAUUAUGAAAACUGCGCAAAGAGUUAAGGAAACUUUACAACGUUACAAAGAACUUCAGGACAUUAUCGCAAUUCUUGGAUUGGAUGAAUUAUCGGAGGAGGAUCGUUUAACUGUAGCAAGAGCACGAAAAAUCGAGCGGUUCUUAUCACAAACCGUUCUUUGUGGCAGAAGUUUUUACCGUUCUCCAGGAAAGUAUGUUGGUCUUGCAGAAAACAAUUAGGGGAUUUCAACUAAUCCUUUCCGGAGAAUUAGACGGCCUACCCGAACAGGCUUUUUAUUUAGUGGGGAACAUCGAUGAAGCUAGCACGAAAGCUAUAAACUUAGAAGAGGAGAGCAAAUUGAAGAAAUGAAAUUAAAUCUUUAUGUACUGACUCCUAAACGAAUUAUUUGGGAUUGUGAAGUGAAAGAAAUCAUUUUAUCUACUAAUAGUGGCCAAAUUGGUGUAUUACCAAACCACGCCCCCAUUAACACAGCUGUAGAUAUGGGUCCUUUGAGAAUACGCCUCCUGAACGACCAAUGGUUAACGGCGGUUCUGUGGAGUGGUUUUGCAAGAAUAGUUAAUAAUGAGAUCAUCAUUUUAGGAAAUGAUGCAGAACUGGGUAGUGACAUUGAUCCAGAAGAAGCUCAACAGGCACUUGAAAUAGCCGAAGCUAACUUGAGUAAAGCUGAAGGUACGAAAGAAUUGGUUGAAGCGAAGCUAGCUCUCAGACGAGCUAGGAUACGAGUCGAGGCUGUCAAUUGGAUUCCCCCAUCACAAUUGAAGACAAUCCAAAGAUUUCGUUGAUACAAAGAAAAAGGAAAGAAGGGUAGAAAAAGUUAUUAGAUAGCGAAGCGAAGUAAGUCCAAUGCUAUCUAGUAAUUUUUCUACCUACCUACCUACUAUUGGAUUUGAACCAAUGACUCCCGCCGUAUGAAAGCAAUACUCUAACCACUGAGUUAAGUAGGCAAUUUAUCACCACAAAAGAAGCCCCAUUACUUCGAAUCGAUUAUAGAUUGAAUCCUUUUUAUAAGCAAUACCGCUCCGUUAUUGGUAUGUUUAUGUUAUAUAGUAAACGGAUCAAAGGGAUAUCCUCUGGCAUUAGAGAAUAUUCAUCUUGACAAGAAAUUAUCUAUAUGUUAAGAUAUCUCUGACAAGGGCUAUAGCUCAGUUCGGUAGAGCAACUCGUUUACACGUGCGCCAAUGCUUUUCAAGGGAACUUUUUAUGCAAUGAACAUAAUUGACCUUGUUGCAAAAUCAAUGUCUUACUUCAUGGAUUCGAAAGAAUAGAAGAACAGUAGCCUGACAAUGACAAACAGCUGGUUCAGUCCGAUUCAGGUGCCAAUUAAGGUGCUUACUCAAAUAGAACUCCUAUUGAUUUGCUAGUUGAUAAGGUAAAUAUCCAGCCCACUCAAUGCUAGGCGUAAUGAGGAUAAGGGCCUCCAAAAAACUUCUUUUCGUUCUAUGAACUUUAAGGUGUAUGAAGUCUCAUAGUAAACUCUUGCAGCGGAAACGAUAGAGACUCCAUUUCACUUAGGUUGAUUUAAUUUAGGCCGGAGGCAGACCUAAGUCAAGGUAAUCCUCCUUUGAAAACACUUUGGUAUUGUUCCUAGAUAGAUCAUAAGACAAAUAAUCAAUCAGAGCACAGGGAGCCAUCUUAUUAUCUUUCCCUAAAGAAAAACUAUGGCGAAUUAACUGAUCUUUACAUUAGUUGAUGAAAGAGCCCAAUGCAGAAAAAUGCAUGUUGGGUCUUUGAAACAGUUCGAAUCAUUUCGAUAAUAAUCUGUUUGAUCUGUUUUACCGAGAAGGUCUACGGUUCGAAUCCGUAUAGCCCUAAUAUAUACGUCUUUUUUCCAUUUAGGAUGGAUAUCUUAUGUUUCCUUUAGUAUAGUUUUCUUUUCCUUAUUUAGUACUUGUUUAUAGACUCGAACGGUCGAUUGCGCCAUAGAAUAGAGAUAAAAGCAUUACCAUAGGCUCAUUCAUCGAAACGCAAAUCAGAGAGACAGGAAAAGAAAAAAGAAUUUUGAUCAAAUCAAUAGAAGGAAGGAUCCCUUACCUGAUUUGAAUUUCAUCCUCCUUUAAAUAGGAUAUGCUCUAAGUCUUCCCAUACUUUCCUAUAAUGACUGCAACGAUUUUCUCCAUUUUGCGAAUUCCUAUUUUAUUUGAAGUAUAUUACUAUCAUAUACAUUAUCUAAAUCGAUCCACUUUAAAUAAAAUAGAAAAAAUCGAAAGAAAAAAAAAAGAAAGAGUAAAUAAUAAAACAGGAUAUUCUGUUUCAUAAUUCUGAAAUAGAGUUCUUUUUUUUAGUAUUACUCCUCAUUAGGAUGUAUAUAUUAAUCAUCCUAUUUUAAUAUAUAUUAAUCAUCCUAUUUUAAUUAGGUUCUAAUCCAAUUAGUAGUAAGUAUUUUCUUUUUUAUUUAAUAGUCUCUGACUAUCAUUAAUAAAGGGUAGAGCAAUUCUUUUUUCUAGAGAUUCUAGAGAAAGUGAGACAAAGUGAAGCGAAAGAGUUUUCUUUGUAUAAGAAUUAGGUCUAUAUCAUAUCUAAAUAGAAGGGAAAUCAAAAAGAAGGGAAGUGGGGAUUACAUUGGAUGAAUCCUUAAGGAAGACAUAUCACAAAGAAAUAAAGGCUAAAGUAAGCGCUCCUUGCCUUUGGUUUGAGCAAAACAGAUUCUUGUUUCACCGAGGAAAAGAGAGAAGUUCUGGAUAAAUUGACAAUGUCAACUUGAAUUGACUAAUUCAGUUCCGCCUAUUCCACAUUAAUGGGAGUACAUUUAUGUUUCUGCUUCACGAAUAUGAUAUUUUUUGGACAUUUCUAAUAAUAGCAAGCCUUAUUCCUAUUUUGGUAUUUUGGAUUUCAGGACUUUUAGCCCCGGUUAGUGAAGGACCAGAGAAGCUUUCUAGUUAUGAAUCGGGUAUAGAACCCAUGGGGGGGGCUUGGUUACAAUUCCGAAUACGCUAUUACAUGUUUGCGCUAGUUUUUGUUGUUUUUGAUGUGGAAACAGUCUUUCUCUACCCUUGGGCAAUGAGUUUCGACGUAUUGGGUGUAUCCGUUUUUAUCGAAGCUUUCAUUUUUGUGCUUAUCCUAGUUGUUGGUUUAGUUUUAUGCAUGGCGAAAAGGAGCCUUGGAAUGGUCUUAACUGAAUAUUCAGAAAAAAAAAAAAAAAGAAGGAAAAGAUUCCAUUGAGACAAUUAUGAGUUUGAUUGAGUUUCCGUUACUCGACCAAACAAGUUCCAAUUCCGUUAUUUCAACUACACCAAACGAUCUUUCAAAUUGGUCAAGACUCUCAAGUUUAUGGCCCCUUCUAUAUGGUACCAGUUGUUGUUUCAUUGAAUUUGCUUCAUUAAUAGGCUCACGAUUCGACUUUGAUCGUUAUGGAUUGGUACCAAGAUCAAGUCCUAGACAAGCGGACCUAAUUUUAACAGCUGGUACGGUAACAAUGAAAAUGGCUCCAUCUUUAGUGCGAUUAUAUGAGCAAAUGCCUGAACCGAAAUACGUCAUUGCUAUGGGAGCCUGUACUAUUACAGGGGGCAUGUUCAGUACAGAUUCCUAUAGUACUGUUCGAGGAGUUGAUAAGUUAAUUCCCUGUGGACGUCUACCUGCCGGGUUGCCCGCCUAACCAGAGGCUGUUAUAGAUGCCCUAACAAAACUUCGUAAGAAGAUAGCGCGAGAAAUAAUUGAGGAUCGAACUCUAUGUCAAAGUCAAAAGAAAAAUAGAUCUUUUACUACCCCGUCACAAACUUUAUGUUCGGCGCAGUACUCACACUGGAACUUACGAACAAGAAUUGCUCUAUCAAUCACCAUCUACUUUAGAUAUAUCUUCUGAAACUUUUUCAAAUCCAAAAGUUCAGUAUCUUCCUACAAAUUAGUGAAUUAGGAGGGGUUCUUUUGUGCAGAAAAAGAAAGAAAAGAGCAGUACAAUCUUUCAAACUUGCAUUUGAAAUGUGAAAUAUUUAUACAAAAGGGGGAGAGAUCAAGACAAUGCAGCAGGGUUGGUUAUCUAAUUGGCUAGUUAAACAUGACGUGGUUCAUAGGUCUUUGGGCUUCGAUCAUCGAGGAGUAGAGACUUUACAAAUAAAAGCGGGGGAUUGGGAUUCCAUUGCUGUCAUUUUAUAUGUAUAUGGUUACAAUUAUUUACGUUCCCAAUGUGCUUAUGACGUAGCACCCGGUGGAUCUUUAGCUAGCGUGUAUCAUCUUACGAGAAUACAGUAUGGUAUAGAUAACCCAGAAGAGGUAUGCAUAAAAGUCUUUGCCCAAAAGGAUAAUCCUAGAAUCCCGUCUGUUUUCUGGGUUUGGAGAAGUGCCGAUUUUCAAGAACGCGAAUCUUAUGAUAUGGUGGGAAUUUCUUAUGAUAAUCAUCCACGUCUUAAACGUAUCUUAAUGCCUGAAAGUUGGAUAGGCUGGCCCUUACGUAAGGACUAUAUAACCCCCAAUUUCUAUGAAAUACAAGAUGCUCAUUGAGUGAUAAUAAAUUCAUGUUCACUUAUACAACACAAUUCCAGAUUUUAUUCAAGUCAAGGAAUAUUUUGACGUUCUGUUCCUAGACGAAACGAAAUACUUAGAAUAUAAUAUUCUAAUUAAUUCCUAUUAUACAAAAAGGUCCAGAUAGACUGAACAAAAAGGGCUUCAUUUCUAUUUUCCAAUUUGGAAAAUCACAUAUUUGUUUCCUUCGUAUGAACAGAAAAAUACAAUGACUCAAAGAAGUUCCUACCACGAACUUUGUACCGCGCAUAUUACUUAGAACAACUGGGAAAGUAGGAUAAGCAAGAAUAAAAAAAAUAUAUUCUUCGGAAUAGCGGUAUACAAAAUUAAUAAGAAAUGCAAAAUGAAGAAAAGGGCACCUAAUCUCACCUCUUUCUAUACCAUAAAGAACCAGAGAUUUAAACCCUUUUUUUAAAAGAAAAAGAAGUGUUUAGAGAUUUAUCUACUUACUCUAGAGAUUUAUCUACUUACUCUAGACUAAAGACUAAGUAGAUUUUUAAUAAAUAUUUACCCCAAUCCAUCUCAAAAUAUUUGUAUCAAUAUCUAUUCAGUAGAUCCUUUUUUUCUGUGCCAGGAACCAGAUUUGAACUGGUGACACGAGGAUUUUCAGUCCUCUGCUCUACCAACUGAGCUAUCCUGACCCUUUCUUGUGCAUCAUCUUAGUAAAGUAUUUGCAUCUAUGUCAAUUAAAGGGACUAAAAAAUCAAUAAAGUAUUCCAUUCAAAAUUAGGAAAUGGGGAGGGGUAGUCCUAUGCAUUGUGGAUGGCUUACUUAAUAAUACUUAAAAAAAACGAAUUAAUAAUCGAGAUUCCUUGCCGAUACUCUACUCUAAUAAAUAAAAAAGAAAUAAAAAAGAAAUCAUCUAUUUAAUGAAUAGCAUAAGAUUCAUUGAGUUCUUGUCGCACUCCUUUGUGAAAGAGUAGAAUGAGAAAGCUAGUGAAUCUUAAACCCAUUGAUAAAAGAAAAAAAGGAUAACAACUAUGGUUAGGGAAUAAAAGAGGGUUUGGGGAUAGAGGGACUUGAACCCUCACGACUUAUAAAGUCGACGGAUUUUCCUUUUACUAGAAAUUUCAUUGUUGUCAGUAUUGACAUGUAGAAUGGGACUCUCUCUUUAUCCUCGUCCGAUUAAUCCACUUUUAAAAAUUAAAAGAUCUCGAAAACAAUGAAUUGAAGGAUUUGAUUACUCAAUAUUUGAUUGGAAUAGAUUCACAAUAAUUCUAAAAAAAAAUUAUGAAUUUUCUAUUUCAUAAUCAUUCCUAAUUUCAUUCUAAAAAUAAAAUAAAGAACCUAUAUUAUAAUAUGGGUUCUGUGAUUAAUCGUUAUUACUUCGAUUCGUUAGAACAGCUUCCAUUGAGUCUCUGCACCUAUCCUUUUCCUUUGGGUUCUAGUUUGAGAACCACUUGUUUUUUCAAAAAAGGGAUUUGGCUCAGGAUUGCCCAUUUUUCAUUCCAGGGUUUCUCUGAAUUUGGAAGUUACCACUUAGCAGGUUUCCAUACCAAGGCUCAAUACAAUCAAGUCCGUAGCGUCUACCGAUUUCGCCAUAUCCCCAUUUUACUUUUCUUUGAAACCAGGAUUCCUUGUAUAAUUUAAUCCAUCUCUUAGUUUUUUUUGAAUCAUUGAAUUCAUUAUUCGACGUAGUCUAGCAACUCAUCUCUAUUUGAGACACCCCGCUCGCUUAUUGCAAUUCAGAAUUGCAUUGAUUUUAUCGUUGAUAUAUUUGCAAUUCAAUCGGAAUGAAUAUAUCCAAAGUUUUUCUCUCUCCCGCCUCCCUCCUUCCUUUUUAGAGUAUUCCAAAUCAUACUAUAACGCUUGAUAUUCAUUCUUUUUUUCUAAACUGAAUUAGAAAUUUCAUUUGCUAUGAUUCUAUCUUCUCCUUAGUGAACUAUUUAUCCUUAAAUUAUUAACAAAUAAAAAAACAAAAUAUCUCAAAAAUGUAUAUAAUGAUCAAAUGAAAAUGCCAAUCUCUUGGCAUUUUCUCUUUAUUAUAUUAUUCAUAUAUAUUCUUCUUUUUCUUCUUUUCUAUGUAUUAGAUUAUUCCUCCGAGCCAUAUCAAAUUGAAAAUAUCUGAAAUCAAAUUCAAUAUAGAAUUUGGAAUAGAUUCUAUUAAAAAAAUCCAUUUGCGAAUUAGAGAAAUAAAAAGAAAGUUCAAUAAAUUCUAUAAUCCUAUUUAAGAAUAUCAUUUAGUUAAGCAUAUCAAGCUAACUUUAUCUUUAUGAAAUUCUAGUAUUUUUUUUUUUCUAUCUAAGUGGAACUUCCAAUUUAGAACUAGUUAAUAACUAAGAUUAAUAAUUAAGAUCUGACAUUUUACAGAUUCCCUAUAUAUAUUUUUAUUUGUUACACUAUUUCUGUUAUGUAAGCCCACUUAGCUCAGAGGUUAGAGCAUCGCAUUUGUAAUGCGAGGGUCAUCGGUUCAAAUCCGAUAGUCGGCUUUUUUUUCUAUCGAUGUUCUAUGAACAAGAAUUUCUCUUUUUCUCCGAAUAAAAUGGGGAAUCCAGGUCUAUUAUGUCGUUUUACCUUACAAUUUUGCUAGAUACAAAGCAUAAAAAUAAAUAAUAUAUAUACAAAAAAUCCAGAUGUUGAUGAAAUUCCAUUUUUUGUGUUACUCCAUUUUUUGUGUUACUUUAGUAGAUUUUACUCUGUUUAUCCUUUAGUUUAAUUCUGUUUGAAUUUCGCUGUAUUCUGUAAUGUAAAUAGAACGAAAUUUAUUGUGUAAAAUGAAAUUUCAAUAAAAUAAAAAAGGGAGUCUUCAUGUCCCGUUAUCGAGGGCCUCGUUUAAAAAAAAUACGCCGUCUGGGAGCUUUACCAGGACUCACUAGAAAAAACGCCUAAAUCCGGAAGUAAUCAGAAAAAGAAAUUCCAUUCUGGGAAAAAAGAGCAAUAUCGUAUUCGUCUUCAAGAAAAACAGAAAUUGCGUUUCAUUAUGGUCUGACAGAACGACAAUUACUUAGAUAUGUACAUAUCGCUGGAAAAGCAAAAAGAUCCACAGGUCAGGUUUUACUACAAUUACUUGAAAUGCGUUUGGAUAAUAUCCUUUUUCGAUUGGGGUAUGGCUUCAACCAUUCCUGGGGCCCGACAAUUAGUUAACCAUAGACAUAUUUUAGUUAAUGGUCGUAUAGUUGAUAUACCAAGCUUUCGUUGCAAACCCCGAGAUAUUAUUACUACGAAGGAUAACCAACGAUCAAAACGUUUGGUUCAAAAUUAUAUUGCUUCAUCCGAUCCGGGCAAAUUACCAAAGCAUUUGACGGUUGACACAUUGCAAUAUAAAGGACUAGUAAAAAAAAUUCUAGAUAGGAAGUGGGUCGGUCUCAAAAUAAAUGAGUUGUUAGUUGUAGAAUAUUAUUCCUCGCCAGACUUGAACUUAACGAAAAAAGGAAAGGUUCAUAGAAUUUUUUUCCCCUUCCCCCUUUCCCCGAACUAAAUCGACCUAAGGCUCUUAAUUCGUAUUUUCCCGUUCACCUAGCAGAAAUAGAUUAACCCUAGGAUACUUUUUUCUUUUUUGUUAUUUCCUCGAUGUGUAUUUUACAUACCACAGUAAUUUGCUAUAGAGAAUUUCUAUUAAUUAAAGGUAUUAUUGUUGGAAUAAAUUGUUAUUUAAUUUGAUACAUUGUGAUCGCUAACAUUGAUGAAUUAAGAGAAACGGAAAGAGAGGGAUUCGAACCCUCGGUAAACAAAAGUCUACAUAGCAGUUCCAAUGCUACGCCUUGAACCGCUCGGCCAUCUCUCCUACAUAAUCUUAUUAUGGAAAAUAAACUGAGUGAAUAGCGAGUUUUCGUAUUCCUGCAGUACAGGUACAGCCACAACGGCUCGGGAAUUCCAUGGCUCUAUUGGAUUGGAUGGAAAAAUUCCUUUUCAUCUAAGUGGAAGGAUCCUGUAUUUUUUUACUAGGAAUUCUGCUCCCUCGAAAAGUUUUUCUUUGGGGAAAACCAAAAUAAAAAGAGAAUGGAAGAAUUCUUCUAUUCCAUAAGAAAAUAAAGGAACCCUAGAAUUCCAUUUGCAUAAGGUACAUUACGCCAUACAAUCUAAAUAUAAAGGGGUAUGGGGCAAUUAAUGACUUUGAAAACGCGAAAUAGCUGAUGAGGGAAGUUGUUGUUGAGAAAUAGGAAAGUGGAAUGAAAUCCAGUCUUAGUCAAAUAUUUCAUAUCUCUUCUCUUCUUGUCCAAACAGAAGGAAAAGGAGACAAUUUGAGCUGAGCGGAAAAUCCAUAUCUCUCUUAUCCAUUUAGAGCAUAUGGAUCGAUUUAUAAGAAUCGAAUGUUUUGUUUUUAUGUUAUUUUGUGAUAGAAUGAAAAGAAUUCUAUAUAGAAUGGGUUGGGAAUUAUGCCUAGAUCCCGUAUAAAUGGAAAUUUCAUUGAUAAGACCUCCUCGAUUGUAGCCAAUAUUUUAUUGCAAAUAAUUCCGACAACCUCCGGGGAAAAAAGGGCAUUUACUUAUUAUAGAGAUGGGAUGUUGGCUCAAUCCGAAGGAAAUUAUGCGGAAGCUUUGCAGAAUUAUUAUGAAGCUACGCGACUAGAAAUUGAUCCCUAUGAUCGAAGUUAUAUACUAUAUAACAUAGGCCUUAUACACACAAGCAAUGGAGAGCAUACAAAGGCUUUGGAAUAUUAUUUCCGGGCGCUAGAACGAAACCCCUUCUUACCGCAAGCUUUUAAUAAUAUGGCCGUGAUCUGUCAUUACCGAGGAGAACAGGCCAUUCUACAGGGCGAUUCGGAAAUUGCGGAGCUUGGUUUGAUCAAGCUGCUGAGUAUUGGAAACAAGCUAUAGCGCUUACUUCCAGGAAAUUAUAUUGAAGCACAGAACUGGUUAAAGAUUACGAAGCGCUUUGAAUUUGAAUAAGACCACUCUCCAUUUUCAUAAAAAGGGUGGUUUGGUUGAAAAUCAAAUCAAGAAUUUCAUUAUAUCCCUUUCUUCUACCUUCAAUUUUAUAUCAUAUUUCAUAAGGAUAAACAUAGGGAUAGGCUCUGGAACAGAAGUAAUAAGUACAUAAAAAUCGGCAAUCUAAAUAUUCCUACCUAAUAUAUCAGGACGGUCCUUAUUAAUAAUUCUAAUGAGUUAUCUUGGAAUUUUGAAUCGAAUCAAAAAAUCUAUAUUAUGCUCACUCAAGGAAAGUAGAUGUAGAUAGGGGCUUAUACCCUCAGAAAAAAAAUACACCAGCUUCUUAAAUUAAAACGUAAAAAAAAGAUUUUUUUGUUAUGUCGGGAAAUAAUUUUCCAGAAUAACCAAUGUCCGUUAGGCACCUAAUCCUUAUGUCAUAAUAGAUCCGAACACUUGCCUCGGAUUGACUUCAAUAUAUAAUUGCUCCAGUGAAUAACUAAAAAAAAAAAUAGAAGGACGGUAGAUAGUAAAGAAAAGGACUAAUCAUAAUAUCUAUCUUUAAAAGAUUCAAUAAAAAGACAGUUGGCGGGUCUCUUUGUAUGUCUUGUCCGGAAAGAGGAGGACUUAAUGAUUAUUCGUUCGUCGGAACCAGAAGUUAAAAUUGCUGUGGAUAGGGAUCCUAUAAAAACAUCUUUUGAGGAAUGGGCCAGACCCGGGCAUUUCUCAAGAACCAUAGCUAAGGGCCCCGAUACUACCACUUGGAUCUGGAACCUACAUGCUGAUGCUCACGAUUUCGAAUAGUCAUACCGGUGAUUUGGAGGAGAUCUCCCGAAAAGUCUUUAGUGCUCAUAUUUCGGCCAACUCUCCAUUAUCUUUCUUUGGUUGAGUGGCAUGUACUUCCACGGUGCCCGUUUUUUCCAAUUAUGAAGCAUGGCUAAAGCGAUCCUACUCCUCACAUUGGACCCAGUGCUCAGGUAGUUUGGCCAAUAGUAGGACAAGAAAUUUUGAAUGGUGAUGUAGGCGGGGGUUUCCGAGGAAUCCAAAUAACCUCUGGUUUUUUUCAGAUUUGGCGAGCAUCCGGAAUAACUAGUGAAUUACAACUCUAUUGUACCGCAAUUGGUGCAUUGAUUUUUGCAUCGUUAAUGCUUUUUGCCGGUUGGUUCCAUUAUCACAAAGCCGCUCCCAAAUUGGCCUGGUUCCAAGAUGUAGAAUCCAUGUUGAAUCACCACUUAGCGGGAUUAUUAGGACUUGGGUCUCUUUCUUGGGCGGGACACCAAAUCCAUGUAUCUUUACCGAUUAACCAAUUUCUCGACGCUGGGGUUGAUCCUAAAGAGAUACCACUUCCUCAUGAAUUUAUCUUGAAUCGCGACCUUUUGGCUCAACUUUAUCCUAGUUUUGCCGAAGGAGCAACCCCUUUUUUCACCUUGAAUUGGUCCAAAUAUGCGGAAUUUCUUAGUUUUCGCGGAGGACUAGAUCCAAUAACCGGUGGUCUAUGGUUGAGCGAUAUUGCACACCAUCAUUUAGCUAUUGCUAUUCUUUUCCUGAUCGCUGGUCAUAUGUAUAGGACCAAUUGGGGUAUUGGUCAUGGACUUAAAGAUAUUUUGGAGGCUCAUAAGGGCCCAUUUACAGGACAAGGCCAUAAAGGUCUCUAUGAAAUCCUAACAACGUCAUGGCAUGCUCAAUUAUCUCUUAACCUAGCUAUGCUAGGCUCUACAACUAUUGUUGUAGCUCAUCAUAUGUACUCUAUGCCCCCCUAUCCAUACCUAGCUACUGACUACGGUACACAACUUUCCUUGUUCACACACCACAUGUGGAUUGGCGGAUUUCUAAUAGUUGGUGCUGCUGCACAUGCAGCCAUUUUUAUGGUAAGAGACUAUGAUCCAACUACUCGAUACAACGAUCUAUUAGAUCGCGUCCUUAGACACCGCGAUGCAAUCAUAUCCCACCUUAACUGGGUAUGUAUAUUUCUGGGUUUUCACAGUUUUGGCUUGUACAUUCAUAAUGAUACCAUGAGUGCUUUAGGCCGUCCCCAAGAUAUGUUUUCGGAUACCGCCAUACAAUUACAACCCAUCUUUGCUCAAUGGAUACAAAAUAUCCAUGCUGGCGCGCCUGGCGUAACAGCUCCUGGUGCAACAACAAGUACCAGCUUAACGUGGGGAGGCGGCGAGUUAGUAGCUAUAGGCGGCAAAGUAGCUUUGUUACCUAUUCCAUUAGGAACCGCAGAUUUUUUAGUCCAUCACAUUCACGCAUUUACCAUCCAUGUGACUGUAUUAAUACUUUUGAAAGGUGUUUUAUUUGCUCGCAGUUCCCGUCUGAUACCUGAUAAAGCAAAUCUUGGCUUUCGCUUCCCUUGCGACGGACCUGGGCGAGGGGGAACAUGUCAAGUAUCCGCCUGGGAUCAUGUUUUCUUAGGUCUAUUCUGGAUGUACAAUUCUAUUUCGGUAGUCAUUUUCCAUUUCAGUUGGAAAAUGCAGUCGGAUGUUUGGGGUACUAUAAGUGAUCAAGGGAUAGUAACUCAUAUCACAGGGGGAAACUUUGCGCAGAGUUCCAUUACGAUUAAUGGUUGGCUUCGAGAUUUCUUGUGGGCACAGGCAUCCCAAGUAAUUCAGUCUUAUGGUUCUUCAUUAUCUGCAUAUGGUCUUUUUUUCUUAGGCGCUCAUUUUGUCUGGGCUUUCAGUUUAAUGUUUUUAUUCAGCGGCCGUGGUUAUUGGCAAGAACUCAUUGAAUCUAUCGUUUGGGCUCAUAACAAAUUAAAAGUUGCUCCUGCUACUCAGCCUAGAGCCUUGAGCAUUAUACAAGGACGUGCUGUAGGAGUAACCCAUUACCUUCUGGGUGGAAUUGCCACAACAUGGGCAUUCUUCUUAGCGAGAAUUAUUGCAGUAGGAUAGUGGCUAGGAGGAUUUGAAAGGCAUUAUGGAAUUAAGAUUUCCCAGGUUUAGCCAAGGCUUAGCUCAGGACCCCACUACUCGUCGUAUUUGGUUUGGUAUUGCUACCGCACAUGAUUUCGAAAGUCAUGAUGAUAUUACUGAGGAACGUCUUUAUCAGAACAUUUUUGCUUCUCACUUUGGGCAGUUAGCAAUAAUCUUUCUAUGGACGUCCGGAAAUCUGUUUCAUGUAGCUUGGCAAGGAAAUUUUGAAUCAUGGAUACAGGAUCCUUUACACGUAAGACCUAUUGCUCAUGCCAUUUGGGAUCCUCAUUUUGGGCAACCCGCUGUGGAAGCCUUUACUCGAGGAGGUGCUGCCGGUCCAGUGAAUAUCGCUUAUUCUGGGGUUUAUCAGUGGUGGUAUACAAUUGGAUUGCGCACCAAUGAAGAUCUUUAUACUGGAGCUCUUUUUCUAUUAUUUCUUUCUACGCUAUCCUUAAUAGGGGGUUGGUUACAUCUACAACCCAAAUGGAAGCCAAGCCUUUCGUGGUUCAAAAACGCCGAAUCUCGUCUGAAUCAUCAUUUGUCAGGACUUUUCGGAGUAAGUUCUUUGGCUUGGACAGGACAUUUAGUUCAUGUUGCUAUUCCCGGAUCCAGGGGGGAGUACGUUCGAUGGAAUAAUUUCUUAGAUGUAUUACCCUAUCCCCAGGGGUUGGGUCCCCUUCUGACGGGUCAGUGGAAUCUUUAUGCCCAAAAUCCUGAUUCGAGUAAUCAUUUAUUUGGUACCACUCAAGGAGCGGGAACUGCCAUUCUGACCCUUCUUGGGGGAUUCCAUCCACAAACACAAAGUUUGUGGCUGACCGAUAUUGCUCAUCAUCAUUUAGCUAUUGCAUUUAUUUUUCUCAUUGCCGGUCAUAUGUAUCGAACUAACUUCGGAAUUGGGCACAGUAUCAAAGAUCUUUUAGAAGCACAUACUCCUCCGGGGGGUCGAUUAGGACGUGGGCAUAAAGGCCUUUAUGAUACAAUCAAUAAUUCGAUUCAUUUUCAAUUAGGCCUUGCUCUAGCUUCCUUAGGGGUUAUUACUUCCUUAGUAGCUCAACAUAUGUACUCUUUACCUGCUUAUGCAUUCAUAGCACAAGACUUUACUACUCAAGCUGCUUUAUAUACUCAUCACCAAUACAUUGCAGGGUUCAUCAUGACAGGGGCUUUUGCUCAUGGAGCUAUUUUUUUCAUUAGGGAUUACAAUCCGGAACAGAAUGAAGAUAAUGUAUUGGCAAGAAUGUUAGACCAUAAGGAAGCUAUCAUAUCUCAUUUAAGUUGGGCUAGCCUCUUCCUAGGAUUCCAUACCUUGGGCCUUUAUGUUCAUAACGACGUUAUGCUUGCUUUUGGUACUCCAGAAAAGCAAAUCUUGAUUGAACCUAUAUUUGCCCAAUGGAUACAAUCUGCUCAUGGUAAGACGACAUAUGGGUUCGAUAUACUCUUAUCUUCAACGAAUGGCCCCGCUUUCAAUGCAGGUCGAAACAUAUGGUUGCCCGGAUGGUUGAAUGCUGUUAAUGAGAAUAGUAAUUCGCUUUUCUUAACAAUAGGACCUGGGGAUUUCUUGGUUCAUCAUGCUAUUGCUCUAGGUUUGCAUACAACUACAUUGAUUUUAGUAAAGGGUGCUUUAGAUGCACGCGGUUCCAAAUUAAUGCCGGAUAAAAAGGAUUUCGGGUAUAGUUUUCCUUGCGACGGCCCAGGGCGCGGCGGUACUUGUGAUAUUUCUGCUUGGGACGCGUUUUAUUUGGCAGUUUUCUGGAUGUUAAAUACCAUUGGAUGGGUUACUUUUUAUUGGCAUUGGAAACACAUUACAUUAUGGCAGGGCAACGUUUCACAAUUUAAUGAAUCCUCCACUUAUUUGAUGGGAUGGUUAAGAGAUUACCUAUGGUUAAACUCUUCACAACUUAUUAAUGGAUAUAAUCCUUUUGGGAUGAAUAGUUUAUCAGUAUGGGCUUGGAUGUUCUUAUUUGGACAUCUUGUUUGGGCUACAGGAUUUAUGUUCUUAAUUUCCUGGCGUGGAUAUUGGCAGGAAUUAAUUGAGACUUUAGCAUGGGCUCAUGAACGGACACCUUUGGCUAAUUUAAUUCGCUGGAGAGAUAAGCCCGUGGCUCUUUCCAUUGUGCAAGCAAGAUUGGUCGGAUUAGCCCACUUUUCCGUGGGUUAUAUAUUCACUUAUGCAGCUUUCUUGAUUGCCUCAACAUCAGGCAAGUUUGGUUAAUUUAGUUAUUUUUUUUUGUACUGUAUCAGAACCCAGUUCAUUACUCUUGAUGGAGAGGGAGGAUCCGCCUUUUUAGAUUUUUGCUAUUUAUUUUUCUAUCUAGGAUUAGAACCAUAUACUUGGUAAUAAUAGGAACGGCACAUUAUGGCAAAAAAAAGUUUGAUUCAGAGGGAGAAGAAGCGGCAGAAAUUAGAACAAAAAUAUCAUUUGAUUCGUCGAUCCUCAAAAAAAAAGAUAAGA